GACGUAGGGCGCGAGCGUUGUCCGGAUUUAUUGGGCGUAAAGAGCUCGUAGGCGGCUUGUUGCGUCGUCCGUGAAAACCCGCAGCUCAACUGCGGGCUUGCGGACGAUACGGGCAGGCUAGAGUUCGGUAGGGGAGACUGGAAUUCCUGGUGUAGCGGUGAAAUGCGCAGAUAUCAGGAGGAACACCGGUGGCGAAGGCGGGUCUCUGGGGCCGAUACUGACGCUGAGGAGCGAAAGCGUGGGGGAGCGAACAGG
rnacentral:rRNA from 1 species